rnacentral:lncRNA from 1 species
UUGCGCUACAUCUGGAUCCAUGCCAAUUUCUCCACAUCUAAUUGGAUUUCGGUUAUGAUUUUUGACAUUAUGAGAGAGGAUCCACUAAAGGUGGUUAGCUAUAGCUGAUGAGUAAUAAUAUUAUCUCUUGCCUAAUUCGAAUGCGAUCCAAAUUAGAGAUAAGAUGCAGACUAGGAAAGAGAUUUUUUGUAUAUGGUAUAUUAUUGGAGUCAUAUUUUUUUUUCUUAUUUUUCUUAAGAAAUACU